AGCAUAUAUGAGAGGAAACCUGGGGAGGAACAAUGGACGUUGGUACUUCAGAGCACAGCAUCAGCUGCAGUCCACAAGCAGGAGAGGAAAAGCCACUGUGGCAGAAGAUACACUGCAGCUAGGGUAACAGCAGCGAUGGACGGAGAGCUGCACUGGAGGAUGUCCUGAGAAAUGACUUUAAAUAAUGGUUAGAAGAUAUGCAAAACGAAAUAAAGUGGAGCUUCAAUAAAAAAUCCAGUGUUGUACUGAACUUAACAUGGAAGAAACUUGAAGGUGGAUAAUCGAUGCAGUGAUAAAUACACAUCCAUUUCUUCAUUGUUCUCUUGUGUAAAAGUGGAUGCUGUCUCAUGGAGAGCUCGUGUUUUAGCUUGUAAAACUUGCUCACACACUGGAUGGGAGUUAGGAAACCACAGAUACAGGGUGAGAUUGUAAAACAGAAAAUUCCCUGCCGUGGAAGCUAGUCUUAGGAGGAAACUACUCCCAUAAGGGUCUGCAGAAUGCGUUUCCACAGAAGAAAAGAU